rnacentral:lncRNA from 1 species
AGAGAAAAGAAUUAGUGUUAGUUGUUAGUCAAACUCGGCAAGACAUCGCGUCUCGUGCCUACGUAUCUCAUCUGAACAUGAGAAUCAGAGUUGCCGUAGUUCGGCUACGGAGGGACAAAGGUCUCGAUUGCAACUAGGGCAAGAGAAAGGGAAAGUCUCGAUCGCAACGAGGGCGAGAGAAAGGAAAAGGCUCGAUCGCAACGAGGGCGAGAGAAAGGAUCGCAACGAGGGCGAAAGCAAACAAGGAUUAGUCUAAACUAAACCUAACUUGCACAGGAAGCAAGUCAAACAAACACAAGCACAGGUAGCACACACUAUAUGCACACAAAAGGCUCACACAAGGGUUAGGUUUUAGUCGAGGGGUCAUAUCAACCUCAACAAACAAACCUCUGGAAUGGGGUGAGUGUUGCUCUUAACCUUGCCAUUGAGGGG